rnacentral:lncRNA from 1 species
GGAGGGUCCUCAUUGGCUGUCUCGGACGGGGGGAUGCUCCGUGGCUUCGCCAAUGGCGCAUCGGAGCUAAGUCCACCGCGGAAGCCGCUGCUAGCUAAUACCACUGCCUGACAACCGGUAAGACCUCCUUGGAUGCAUUCACCAUAAUCUCCGCUUCAUGAGGUAGUAAUCCGUUUUGAGUUUGGAGCACCUGUGCACGGUUCUGACAGCACCAGUGAUGUCGACGCCGCGCGACUGGGGUCAAAGGAAGGGGAUGAGUCCGGAGCCGUAGGGUGGUGGAUAUGUGGCUAGGAUUAGAUCUGGGGGGGGGGGGGGGAAUUAGCGAGCACCGUUGAUCUUGUAACAUGCGGUACAGAUUGGGUGGUCGCAUUACCACUUUGGGUUGGGUGAUCUGGUGCGUUGAUCUUGAAUGGACGAUCAAGAUUAGAACAACUAAUACCCCUUCGGCACUUUGAAUCCGGGACGUUGAUCGUCGAUCUGGUGGUCCGGGGAGAUCUCAUUUGUAUGCACGUGUGUGAGGUGGUGGGGAUCUUGUGCGGAUCGGAUCCCGUGCGCCUCACCAUGUGCACCGGGGUGUGGCACGAUCUCAGCCAGUCGUAGGACGCCACGUGUCCUUGUGUUGGAAUCCGAGGUCGGUUUUGCAAAGAGGCCCCUGUCCUUAAAGGAAAUUAACUCGGCAGCGUGCAUGUGCAAAGUAAUUACAUCAAGGUCCCUGGAAUUUACAUUAUAGCCCUGGAAUCUAUGUUAAGUGCAAAACAAAUAUUAAAAAUGCCAUAAAACUUAUGUAACACAUAACUUGUGCAUCUUAACUCAGUUUUACUCCGUUUAAAUUGCGUUAACUUCGUAAUAAUUUUUUUUAUACAUUAAAAGAAUUAUGAUUAUCGUUCCACAUACUACAUAGGUUAUUUAUCUAGCUUAUGUUAGUGGAUUAAUCAUUCUAUGUGAGGUUAGUCUACCUAUGAUCAUAAUUUAACUAAAAUUAUAUUUCUACCCUAGUGUAAUAUUGAUUAAAGUUAUUCCUUUAAAUAUCUUUAUCACAUGAUUUAUAAAAUCAACAUAAUGACCUAGAUCUAAUUAGAUAAUCGCAUAGAUCUUCUGAAAACCAUCUCUCUUCAACCCUAACUUAGAUUUUAGUGGUUCUCGAGCCCACGAUCUCGUAGCAACGCGUAGAUCAUGAUUAUUCAGUUUGUACUUAUGUUUGAUGCGAUGUUAAUUUUGCCUAUGCCAUGUUUGUUUGUAUUGCUACGAUUAGCAGUGAGGUCACGAGGAUAUGAAGAAUCAUCCUGGUACCUGGAAUCUCAAGUCCCAAGCAAGUUGUGCCCUUGAUCACUUCUUUUUACUCAGUCAUGUUCUGAAUAAUCAUAAUGAUCUGCAUAUGUUACUUUU